CUGAGCCGUAUGAGGCGAAAGUCUCACGAACAGUUCUUAGGGGGGAUGGUGCAGCAAUGCACUGUCCCUACCCGAAU
rnacentral:ncRNA from 1 species